rnacentral:rRNA from 1 species
UACUUAUUUGUCACUCUUUGUCCGGAAUUAUUGGGCGUAAAGCGCGCGCAGGCGGCCUCUUAAGUCUGAUGUGAAAGCCCCCGGCUCAACCGGGGAGGGCCAUUGGAAACUGGGAGGCUUGAGUAUAGGAGAGAAGAGUGGAAUUCCACGUGUAGCGGUGAAAUGCGUAGAGAUGUGGAGGAACACCAGUGGCGAAGGCGACUCUUUGGCCUAUAACUGACGCUGAGGCGCGAAAGCGUGGGGAGCAAACAGGAUUAGAUAACCCGGUAGUCC